UAGGGAAUCUUCCACAAUGGACGCAAGUCUGAUGGAGCAACGCCGCGUGAGUGAAGAAGGCUUUCGGGUCGUAAAACUCUGUUGUUGGAGAAGAAUGGUCGGCAGAGUAACUGUUGUCGGCGUGACGGUAUCCAACCAGAAAGCCACGGCUAACUACGUGCCAGCAGCCGCGGUAAUACGUAGGUGGCAAGCGUUAUCCGGAUUUAUUGGGCGUAAAGCGAGCGCAGGCGGUUUUUUAAGUCUGAUGUGAAAGCCCUCGGCUUAACCGAGGAAGCGCAUCGGAAACUGGGAAACUUGAGUGCAGAAGAGGACAGUGGAACUCCAUGUGUAGCGGUGAAAUGCGUAGAUAUAUGGAAGAACACCAGUGGCGAAGGCGGCUGUCUGGUCUGUAACUGACGCUGAGGCUCGAAAGCAUGGGUAGCGAACAGGAUUAGAUACCCUGGUAGUCCAUGCCGUAAACGAUGAAUGCUAGGUGUUGGAGGGUUUCCGCCCUUG
rnacentral:rRNA from 1 species